UCUAAAUCCAAUCCAAUAACCCUAAAAUCGAAACCCAGCCGCCGCCUCCUAUUUCUAUAUUUACACUGAUGAAACCAAAACACAAUCCACGUUCAGGCAGUCUCUCUCUCCGGCCAAUCCACGGCCGCAGCUUCCAAUCACCAGGGCUUGUUGCCAACUCUAUUCUACCCUAUUUACCGCGUCAGUGACCAUUCUACUUCCAUCUCUUUUAUCGGCCUAUCGGCCUACAGUUUCUCUUUAUCUUUUGUUUGCUAUACGAAUUGCUCCAUCUCCCUUUUCAGUGGAGGUCUUAGCCUCCUAGGUGAUGGCCAUGGUCGCCGCUGCUAAAAUGAUGAUUGGGAUAUUGUGCAAGGGCUUUGAGUUCCAUUUUAAUGGAAUUGAUGAGAUAAUUCAUAUUAUACCCUCUGAUUACCAGCAGCCAGCAGUUUGAUGGGUCUUUACAGUGGAUCCAAUUACCUAUACUAACUUGGCUCUUGAGCCACUUCUUUGAUCUGUAAUCUUAUACAUGCUCUUAUUAAUUCCUGGAAUUUGCAUCUUAGGAUUGAAGAUGACCCAUUUCCUAGAUUAACACUCUUAUAACUAUAAGAAACUAUCUAUUAAGAUUUGUUAAAAGAAAGAGUUUUUCUUUCGUUAUCUUCCUCAGAAACAGGAGUUUAUGCUCGAUACCCAUCUAAUGAAAGCAUCUUGUGAAGAUUGUGGCGCUGCUUGUGGCCAUUUCCGCCUGCUAGAUUGGGCUCUUGCAAACCAGCUUAUUUUGGAUUGGGCAUAUUGUGAAGAUUAUUCUUUUGCUUCCAAUUUAAUAAACCUCAAUGUUUUUUUUUUA